UUUAAACUAUAUUUCAUUGUCAACCAGAGGCGUGCUAUAGACUAUCUUUGAUUCUUGACAUGUGUAGCUCUCAACUCGUCAAUACCUUGGCUUGAAAAUGAUGACGUGUGAUCUUUUUAAAAGAUUUUAUAUGGGUGAAACCUUUUAAACAAUAGUUGCAAUGCGAUUCUAUGAAGGAAAUCGUGGUUGGAAUAACCAACUUCUUGAUUUAUGAAAUGAGAAUGAGAGAGAAAUAUGGUGCUAAUUUGUGCUGUGUCCUCAUGAAACUUCAAUUCUUAGAACUUUAUCCUUCAAUUUAUAAAUUCUAGAGAGUGGGUUGAGAAAAUCAAUUUGAAAUUGGAUAGUCUAUCCUAAGAAAGGUUAAUUGAAUUGAUUCAGUUUUGUUUGGGAUUAUUCAGAUCAUUCUGUUUUUCUAUUUGGUUUCGUUUUUAUUUUUCUAGAAAAGCCUGUUGGUUAACAACCAAAUUUAAGAUCCUUUUUUUUAUGAUUUAUUAAAUAUUGGCAUUUGUAAUUUGUGAUUUAUUAAAUAUAAUUUAGUGCGCUUAAAAUUUUUAACCUUAAAAUGCCUACUUUUGUUGUUGUCACACUUUGUGAUGGUUAUCUUGUUGAAUUUGUAAUUUAUUUUUGGUAUGCUGCAUAAUUAGCCUAGAGAUAAUAAUGUUGUGGUGGCUGGCAGUGAAAUAUGAAUGUAUAAAUUUUAUGGUUAAAAAUGAAUUUGUGCUAAAAUAAGUUCCAUCAUUAAGGGUCUAAUUUUAACUUUACAAAUUGAAUUUAUUCAACCAACCAAGAAACUGUUGAGCAAAUUAUUUGAACAAAAAUAUAUCUGGUUAGCCAAUUUUGCACUUAACUGUUUUUUCCAGUUCAAUUGUGUCUCCAGAAAAUCUCGAACUUACAGUUUGAGUUUGAUUCAGAAUGGUCUUACAAUUCAGCUUACCAAACUGUGCGGACCUCACAAGGGGAUGCAGAGAAUCACCAAAAAAAAGAGAGAGAGAGGAUGGGGAGAGUUUGGGUUUAAUUCUGUUGACCAAACCAAGCUGAUCCUGGAAAAGGAGAGAAAAAGGAAAAAAUGGAUUGGGGGGGGCGGGGGUGGUGAGGAGAGUGUGUUUGUUGAGGUUGAGAUGUGUGCUGAGAGAAGAUAAGGAAGAAUAUUGACUUUCCUCGCAUAUUUUUGUUUAGUUUUGGUAGCUGAUUUAGUAGUGCAAUGGUUUACCUGAGAAUGUGGAUCGUGUUAUUGUAGCAGUUUUUAUUCUUUGCCUGUUUGAUUAACUGGGGGUUUUUGUUUUCAGCUACCUCCUCCGCAGCUGG
rnacentral:misc_RNA from 1 species